UGGCGGCAGUAGCGCGGUGGUCCCACCUGACCCCAUGCCGAACUCAGAAGUGAAACGCCGUAGCGCCGAUGGUAGUG
rnacentral:rRNA from 3 species